GCUGUAACUGACGCUAAAGCUCGAAAGUGCGGGUAUCGAACAGGAUUAGAUACCCUGGUAGUCCGCACGGUAAACGAUGGACGCCCGCUGUUGGCGAUACACUGUCAGCGGCCAAGCGAAAGCGUUAAGCGUCCCACCUGGGGAGUACGCCGGCAACGGUGAAACUCAAAGGAAUUGACGGGGGCCCGCACAAGCGGAGGAACAUGUGGUUUAAUUCGAUGAUACGCGAGGAACCUUACCCGGGCUUGAACUGCAGGUGAACGAUAGAGAGAUCUUGAGGUCCUUCGGGACACCUGUGGAGGUGCUGCAUGGUUGUCGUCAGCUCGUGCCGUGAGGUGUCGGCUUAAGUGCCAUAACGAGCGCAACCCUUUCCUUCAGUUGCCAUCAGGUCAUGCUGGGCACUCUGUAGGUACUGCCACCGUAAGGUGUGAGGAAGGUGGGGAUGACGUCAAAUCAGCACGGCCCUUACGUCCGGGGCUACACACGUGUUACAAUGGGUGGUAUUGAGAGUCGGGUGUACGCAAGUGCGCUCUAAUCUUUAAGGCCGUCCUCAGUUCGGAUUGGGGUCUGCAACCCGACCCCAUGAAGCUGGAUUCGCUA
rnacentral:rRNA from 1 species